rnacentral:tRNA from 1 species
GCCUCGGUAGCAUAACGGAAGUGCAGGCGGCUUCUACCCGCCGGCGUGGGGGUUCGACUCCCUCCCGGGGCG